UACACACUAAAUCAAAACCUCUCAAUAUCUAAACCUAAGCUUAUUGUGAGUGAUUUUUACUUCCUUUUUUCAAGGUGAGAGGAUCAUAAAUAAUAUUUCCAGAACUCUCUCCUUCCUACCACCACUGUCCCAAGCACACCAAGGCUAAUAUCUGCUCUUCUUUCCUUAUCUCCAGGAUAAGAUGGUCAGAAACCAAACUUUAGGAGAUUUAAACUCACCCACAUAGAACACAAGGAGGAAAUGUGAAGACAAUAACCAACACAGAAACAGGCAGUAAGCUGAGGUCAAAGGUCACCAAGCAGAGGAAGCCAAGAAACAGAAAGAAGCAAACAACAAUAAGAUGCAAUGGAAAGGGAGUGGAUUGGAGAUUGUGAAAUGUCUUGAAUGGAAGACCAUAAUUUUGGAAGGCUGGAAACUGCAAAAGUGAAGAUUUUUGACAGUUUUCACACUGAUUACCUUCAGGCCUUUAUGAGAAAAUGGCAUUUCAUUUGAAAUGUGAAGGAUGAAGAGGAGUGGAUGACAAGUCAUAGACAUGCACCAGGAAGAGGAUUCCAGACAGAAGGAGCCAUUGUGAAGUGAGAAUGAACAUGGUGUGCUGGACAGACAGGAAGUGACUUCUCAAUUUGACAGAACUUUAAAAUCAGAGGUGCCUUCAGUUCAUUCUUCAAAUGCUCUUUACAAUUCUUCAGAUCUUUAAUUUCUUUAAAAUAGAACUUGCAAGUAAAGAAUACCAUGCCAUCCUUCCACUCAGAUAGGAAAGGAGGCAUUAGAUAUUAAAUACUUGUCACACAUCCCUCUUAGCUCUUUUAAAAACUGUGAGAUACACAUCCUAGCUCCUUAUUUAUGGACAGCCAUACCCCGGCACCUACUUACAAAUGCUCUUGUUACUUUACUGUAGAUAAAUCCAAAUAUCUAAUGAAAAUCAUCUAACUUAAGAGACCAAAACCAAGCUGUUCUAAGAAUGUGUGCUGAAGCAGAAACGAUAACGUGCCAUUCAGAAUUCAGUCGAAGGUUUUCAUGUCCUUCCGCAUGACAUAUGUGGGAUCUAAGAACUGAGAGAGUUGAGUGAGCAUGAAAAGAACACUUUUAAAGACUCUGUUCCUGCUUCUCCCUCCACCUCCCAGCAUUGCAGAAGCACAAAUAAGAGAGGGGACUUGUGGAUUGAGCAUGAGUACCAAUACAGCACUUUUAAGUGCUAUUUCCCCCUUUGAGCAUCAGUGAAUCUAAGAGCUAAGAAAAGGAGAGAGUGCAGGUGUAUAACCUUCCACUUGUUCUCUCUCCAAAAACCCUCUGAGGUGCUUUCUUCUCCCUCUUUCCUUAUGAUUUCAUAUUUAAUAUAUGAUCAGUAGAAAGAAGGGAAAAGGCUGUCAACUCAGGAUAAAAAAAAAAAAACAACUAGUUCUACCUGCCUCCUUCCUUUUUUUUUUUUUUUCCCAGAAAAUCUAGCAUUUGUUUUUAGAUCAAAGGCCCAUGUGGAGAAAGGUAUACACUAAAGAGCUGAGGGGAAUGUGAGGGGUGAUGUUUAUGGGCAAAAUCGGGCCAUGUGGUUAUAAGACCCAUGGUAUCACAUAAAAAUGGGGACUUAAGGUAUAUGUUAAUGGUUAAAAUGUGUAACUCCCCUAUAUUGCUUUACUAAAUCCACAUAUCAACCUAUGAUGAUUUAAUCUUAGUCAGUAGUGAUUCAUAUUCAUUCAGGCACAUUUCUUAAAUUUUUUAUCAAUAUUAACUUAAUGAAAUAGAGUGGAAGGUAGUUUACUUAUAAUGUCUGGGAAAGGCUUGAUCUAGUUAAUGAUAUUUCUGGAGUUCAGCUGUCAUAAGUCCAAAGGAACACUGUCCAGUCAUAUAAUGUAAGCCACAUAUACUUUUUAAAAAUGUUGUAGCCACAUUAAAAAUGUAACAAUAAAUAAAU